GACGAAGGAUGCAAGCGUUAUCCGGAUUCAUUGGGUUUAAAGGGAGCGUAGGUGGCUUUGUAAGUCAGUGGUGAAAUCUGGCAGCUUAACUGUUAAAUUGCCAUUGAUACUGCAGAGCUUGAGUACAGAUGCCGUUGGCGGAAUAUGACAUGUAGUGGUGAAAUACAUAGAGAUGUCAUAGAACACCGAUUGCGAAGGCGGCUCUCUGGGACGGUACUGACGCUGAGACGCGAAAGCGUGGGGAGCGAACAGG
rnacentral:rRNA from 1 species